AUUGGAUGCAAUCUCUGACUAUCUUAAUGUUCAGGAGAGCUGCAUAUCAUUAUAUUAAUAAGAAGGAGAAACAUACAAGGUCCAACAAGACCGAGGUGCAUAGAACCACCUUACGGCGGCCAAAAUCUAACGUACACAAACUGAUCCAUCUACCAGACAGCCUGGGAGAUAUGGAAGCAUAAGAAUUCUUGUGUCUUUGAGAAUGCAGAGCUUAACAUACCUACUUUGAUCACAAGGAUUGUUGAGGAAUGUCGGCUUUGGAGGUGGGCUAGAGCCUCCAAAAUGCAUGACUUCUUGGUCUGGGCACGAGCUAGGAAUGUGUAGGCCUUGAUGGCCUAUCCCUCUGUGGUUUUUGUAUUCAAGUGGUCUAGGUGUCAUCGUUGUAACAACCUAAGCUUUUAUGAUGUGUUUGGUUUGAGGUCAAAGUAGGAUGAGGUGGAGUCAUCCCUAACAAUCACCACUUUUUUGUUUGGUAGAAGGGAUAAACUUAGAUGGAACCAUUCCAGUUUUUGUUUGGAUGGUGGUCAGGUGUAAUUGCUCGAGAGGGGCUGGGGCGGCCAUCCCACUUUUCGGGACCGCGAGAGGGGGGGGCACCGUUCGCUCGAUUUUUUGGGACCGUGUCGCUGCCGAAAAUUGCUCCAGUGUUCACCUUGCCCCCGUGUGACCCUCAUCCAAACAUCAUAGAAAAUGUGGUCGUCCCCUUCCAUCCCUCCUUGUUUAUCCAACCAAACACACCCUUAUUUGCUUAGUCCCUGGCUGUAGGGGUACAAGUCUUGUGGUCUUGGUUGUUUUCGGUCGUUUUUGCUCUCUUUGAUGUAUAUGGUACUUCUCUUUCUU
rnacentral:lncRNA from 7 species